rnacentral:rRNA from 1 species
UACGAGGGGGGCGAGCGUUGUUCGGAAUUAUUGGGCGUAAAGGGUGUGUAGGCGGUUGUUUUAAGUUUGGUGUGAAAUCUCCCGGCUCAACUGGGAGGGUGCGCCGAAUACUGAAUGACUUCGAGUGCGGGAGAGGAGAGUGGAAUUCCUGGUGUAGCGGUGAAAUGCGUAGAUAUCAGGAGGAACACCGGUGGUGUAGACGGCUCUCUGGACCGUAACUGACGCUGAGACACGAAAGCGUGGGUAGCAAACAGG